AUUGAACGCUGGCGGCAUGCCUUACACAUGCAAGUCGAACGGCAGCGGACCUUCGGGUGCCGACGAGUGGCGAACGGGUGAGUAAUGUAUCGGAACGUACCUUUCAGUGGGGGAUAACGUAGCGAAAGUUACGCUAAUACCGCAUAUUCUGUGAGCAGGAAAGCAGGGGAUCGCAAGUCCUUGCGCUGAUUGAGCGGCCGAUAUCAGAUUAGCUAGUUGGUGAGGUAAGGGCUCACCAAGGCGACGAUCUGUAGCGGGUCUGAGAGGAUGAUCCGCCACACUGGAACUGAGACACGGUCCAGACUCCUACGGGAGGCAGCAGUGGGGAAUUUUGGACAAUGGGGGCAACCCUGAUCCAGCCAUGCCGCGUGAGUGAAGAAGGCCUUCGGGUUGUAAAGCUCUUUCGUCCGGGAAGAAAUCGCAUCAGCUAAUACCUGGUGUGGAUGACGGUACCGGAAUAAGAAGCACCGGCUAACUACGUGCCAGCAGCCGCGGUAACAC
rnacentral:rRNA from 1 species